GCUGUCCCUGGUGCUCGCCCUCACAAGAGCGGUGCCUGGAGCAGCAGACACCUGGGGCUGUGAGUGCCAUGCGGUCUUGGAUGUGUAUGGCUCAGUCAGGAAGGAAGAAAGGGUUUAAGUGUGUGCAAAGGCCUUGAGCAGGGGAAAGAUGCUUUUGGUUUUUCUACAAGAUAUUGUUCUGGAUACCAAGAAUGUGGGAAUGAAGAAGACAGUCUCUGCCAUUGUAGAUUUAUACUGUAGUGUGAGAGACAGAUGAUUAAUAAGCAAAAAUACGUUGUACUUUAGCCAGGAAGUGCUAAGGAGAAGACAGUAGAAGGUUGAGAUUUUAGACAGACCGAUGAAGGCCUCAAUGAGGAAGUGACAUUUGAACAAAGACCUGAAGGAGAUAAGAGAUAAUCCAUGGGACUAACUGGGUAAGAGUAUUUUACGCAGAGGGAACAGCAGAACAAAGGCCCCAGGUGGGCAUGCCGCUGGUGUGUAUACAGAACAGAAGGAAACAGAGUUCUCGGUGUGGAGAAGUAGGAGCGUGACCAGGCGAGGUCAGAGAGAUGGCUGUGCUGGGUGGCGGCUCUUACAUGUCUUGUGGGCCAUCGCAAGGACUUGGGCUUCUGUUCUGAGUGAGAUGGGGAACUGUGGGAAGGUUUUGAGCAGAGGAGUAAUAGGGUCUGACUUAUGUUUUUAAAAAAUGUCCCUCUGGCUUCUGUGUCAA